GGGCACAUGGUGUAGUUGGUUAUCACGCCCGCUUAGCAUCUCGCUGACUGCGGGCGGUCCCCGGUUCAAUUCCGGGUGUGUCCA